rnacentral:misc_RNA from 1 species
GUAUACACAGCCACACAGGUGAAGAUGAUCGCACACAGCAUUUCUGCCGCGCUGGCUCAUCAUCCUUCCCGCCUCACCGUACUGUCUUGUCUGUCUAUAUCCUAAUCCUAUCCUAUAAUAAGAUGUGCUGGGGUGGGGGACGCAUCUGUGAUCUCAUCUGGAUUUCUCUAUUCCUCCGCUUCGUGCAGGCCGCCCAGCUACAGGGACGGCCCGAGGACGGCGACCACCUCGCGGAGCGCGUCGGCGGUGUCGCCGUAGCGCACCUGCGUCAGCGGGAGGCUUCUGCUCUCCACUGCGUCGCCAAGCUGCCAUUCGUGCAAGCGCGUCUUGUUAUUAAUCAGAAAAAAGGCAUCAAGCAGUAUCAACAAACUAAUUG